rnacentral:rRNA from 1 species
AACGAACGCUGGCGGCAGGCUUAACACAUGCAAGUCGAGCGCCCCGCAAGGGGAGCGGCAGACGGGUGAGUAACGCGUGGGAAUGUACCCUUUGCUACGGGAUAGCUCCGGGAAACUGGAAUUAAUACCGUAUGUGCCCUUCGGGGGAAAGAUUUAUCGGCAAGGGAUCAGCCCGCGUUGGAUUAGCUAGUUGGUGGGGUAAAAGCCUACCAAGGCGACGAUCCAUAGCUGGUCUGAGAG